UACGGAGGGUGCAAGCGUUGUUCGGAAUUACUGGGCGUAAAGCGUGCGCAGGCGGUUCGUUAAGACAGAUGUGAAAUCCCCGGGCUUAACCUGGGAACUGCAUUUGUGACUGGCGAGCUAGAGUAUGGCAGAGGGGGGUAGAAUUCCACGUGUAGCAGUGAAAUGCGUAGAGAUGUGGAGGAAUACCGAUGGCGAAGGCAGCCCCCUGGGCCAAUACUGACGCUCAUGCACGAAAGCGUGGGGAGCAAACAGG
rnacentral:rRNA from 1 species